rnacentral:rRNA from 1 species
GACGAACGCUGGCGGCGUGCCUAACACAUGCAAGUCGAGCGAGGAACUUCGGUUCCUAGCGGCGGACGGGUGAGUAACACGUGGGUAACCUGCCUUGUAGAGGGGGAUAGCCUUCCGAAAGGAAGAUUAAUACCGCAUAAUAUUGCGAUAUCGCAUGAUAUUGCAAUCAAAGGAGCAAUCCGCUACAAGAUGGACCCGCGGCGCAUUAGCUAGUUGGUGAGGUAACGGCUCACCAAGGCGACGAUGCGUAGCCGGCCUGAGAGGGUGAACGGCCACAUUGGAACUGAGACACGGUCCAGACUCCUACGGGAGGCAGCAGUGGGGAAUAUUGCACAAUGGGCGAAAGCCUGAUGCAGCAACGCCGCGUGAGUGAUGAAGGCCUUCGGGUUGUAAAGCUCUGUAUUCUGGGACGAUAAUGACGGUACCAGA